rnacentral:rRNA from 1 species
AUUGAACGCUGGCGGCAUGCUUUACACAUGCAAGUCGAACAGUAACAGGGAGCUUGCUCCGCUGACGAGUGGCGAACGGGUGAGUAAUAUAUCGGAACGUACCCAAGAGUGGGGGAUAACGUAGCGAAAGUUACGCUAAUACCGCAUACGAUCUAAGGAUGAAAGCAGGGGACCUUCGGGCCUUGUGCUCCUGGAGCGGCCGAUAUCUGAUUAGCUAGUUGGUGAGGUAAAGGCUCACCAAGGCGACGAUCAGUAGCUGGUCUGAGAGGACGACCAGCCACACUGGAACUGAGACACGGUCCAGACUCCUACGGGAGGCAGCAGUGGGGAAUUUUGGACAAUGGGCGCAAGCCUGAUCCAGCAAUGCCGCGUGAGUGAAGAAGGCCUUCGGGUUGUAAAGCUCUUUUGUCAGGGAAGAAACGGCUGUGGCUAAUAUCCACGGCUAAUGACGGUACCUGAAGAAUAAGCACCGGCUAACUACGUGCCAGCCGCCGCCGUAA